GGAAGAAAGGAGUUCACAUAUCUAAGACUAAAUGUUAGUCCUAUACUGAAAGCGUGAGUACUGUGAAGGAAAGUUGAAAGAGACUUGAAAAGAUCUGGAAAUUUGUCUUUUAAAGCAGCUGUAAAACAGCGUACCUUUUGUAUAAUGGGUUUACGAGAUAUCGUUUGGCAAAUUUAAAUAAACUUUCUUGCAGAUAAAAUGUAGGUGAAGAGAAGUCGAGAAGGCUCUUUAGUCAAAUUACCCGAAACCAAGUGAUCUAACCAUGGGCAGUUUUAAAGAACGAACCGGUGGUUGUGGCAAAAACCUCGGAUGACCUGUGGAUAGGGGGGAAAGCCCAAUCGGACUUGGAGAUAGCUGGUUUUCUACGAAAACUAUGUAAGUAGUGCGUUCACAUAGGGCAUUGUGUUAAUAAAAAAAUAGAAAAAAAAUGAACAGAAGAACAUUAAUUUGUUAGACUAUUUAAUUCUUUUUAUUUAACGCUCUAUUAAAAUUUUAGGGUAAAGGCCUAUUGCUUUAAGGGGGAUAGACUUUGAAGGUAAAAUUUGAAGUGGACAGACAGACAGGGGGCGAAUAGGUCCGUUGUCAAAAGGGGAGAGCCCAAAUCAGAAAUUAAAGUUACAGAUUCAAUAAUUAAGUGUAAAAGGAGUAUGGGAUUUAGACAAUGAAGAGGUAGGCUUGGAGCCAGCCAUCUUUGAAAGAAUGCGUAGUAGUUCACUCAAGAACUCUUUUUCCCCAAAAAUUAUGGUGGCUAAAAAUUGAACUGAAAUUCUGAGGGCAGUAAGAAGUUUGCUUGGUAGUAGAACAGACUGUUAGAUGGUGGUGAGAACCCAAGAAUCAGAAGAGAUAAUGUGAACAUGAGUAAAAAAAUUGUUGCUUCAUCUCCCCUGGUUACCAAGCCUAAGGGUUUGGGUGAAA
rnacentral:rRNA from 1 species